rnacentral:tRNA from 1 species
AGCGGCGUAGCUCAACUGGAAAGAGCCCCCGGUUUCGACACCAUUGGCGGUCUGAUGGUUGGCCGGGGAGAUGCAGGUUCGAACCCUGCCGCCGCACCCG